GAUUUGCUAUCUGGCGAAACGCUUGAUGUCAGCCACCAAGCUUAGUGUAUUGCCCACCAGGAGACACAUUUGCCGUCAGCCACCUAGCUUAGUGUAUUGCCCACCAGGAGACACAUUUGCCGUCAGCCACCUAGCUGAGUGCGAGUGGCUGCCAACAGACAAUCAUCAUCCGGCCAAGAUGAGUGCAAGAAAGUGGUUGUCAGUGAUGCUGCUGGUUGUGGGGCCGUUGACGUUAACUACAGCUCAACUACAGCCUCAGGAUGACGAAUAUAAGGGUAACUGGAGAUAUCAACUGGUAAAGUGUUAUAAGUUGCCUUAUAUUGGUAGCGAAGAAACAGUUUCUCUGAACUUGAGUUUGUCGGCGGGGACGGAGGACAUCUCAGCCCGUUGGAACGAGGUGCCGGAGGCCAGCAGCUACAGCAUCACCUGGACUCCGGAGGACAACGGUGGGACGGCCACUGUCAACGGCAGUAGCAACACUCAAUACAGUAUCAAAGGCCUCAAGGCGUGUACUGACUACACCGUCACUGUCCAGGCCAUUAAUGAGACCGACGCCGGUGAUUCUGAAAAUGCAAAUGCAACCACGAAAGCAAAAGAUUCCCUAGCGGUCAAGAACUUGACAGUGGUCAAUGAUGUAAAUAACAUGACAGUGCUCCUGGCAAGUUGGACCCAGGCUUCGAAACCCGGCAACUGUGAUGUGUAUUACAAAAUAUCGUGGAGUGACGGUAUCAACGCGAAGACUGACGAAGUGCCUGAGAUAAGUAACUACACCAUCGUUGAUUUGACCCCGUGCACACGCUACGUGGUGGGGGUGACGACCAGAACGUCUGAGAACUACGCUGUUUGGCAGUACCAGAAUGCUACUAUGUGCUCGCUGGACUUGAGUUUGAGAGCGGACCUGGAUGAGAUCUGGGUGUCUUGGAGUCCGUUCCCGAACGCCACUUCCUAUAUCAUCACCUGGAGCCCUGAGGACAACGGUGGGGCGGCCUGUGCCGGCAACGUCGACUCCAAUUAUACCAUUUCAAGCCUUGAGAUGUGCACUUGGUACACCGUCACUGUCCAGGCGUGGGAUCAAGAUAGCCAUGUCUUAUGUUCCAACAGUGAUAGCAUCAGGACGGAUGAAGAUUUGUUGCAGUUGAGUUUAUCGGCGGGGACGGAGGAUAUCUCAGCCCGUUGGAACGAGGUGCCGGAGGCCAGCAGCUACAGCAUCACCUGGACUCCGGAGGACAACGGUGGGACGGCCACUGUCAACGGCAGUAGCAACUCUCAAUACAGUAUCAAAGGCCUCAAGCCGUGUACUAACUACUCCGUCACUGUCCAGGCUAUGAAAGAAACUGGCAAUGUUGGGUGUUCAGAGACCGACACAAGAAUCACGAAUAUCAAAGAGUUGCUGGACUUGAGUUUGUCCGCGGGAACGGAAAGCAUCACAGCCCAUUGGAAUGAGGUGCCGGACGCCAGCUUCUACACCAUCACCUGGACUCAGGUGGACAACAAUGGGACAGACAUUGUCGACGUUGUAAACAGUACGAUAUAUACUAUCGAAGGUCUCAUGCCGUGUACGGUCUACAGAGUCACUGUCCAGGCGAUGAAUGAUGCCCGUAAUGUAGGGUGUUUGGAUACCGUCAAGAGUCGCACGAAAACCAAUGCUCCAGAAUCUUUUAGAGCUGAAAGUAUUAAAACGAAGAAGGUUACCUUGUCUUGGAGUGACGCCAACACGGAGUGCCAGGCACUGGGGUACCAGCUCUCGUACGGCACUACAGUGGUCAAUGUGUCCGCCAACACUCACCAGUAUACUGUGACGGGCCUCAACGCUAAGAAGUCAUACAGCUUUUCUCUGAAGACUGUCACCAACUCUGGGGAGAGUGAGAACGUCUCCCUGACAAUAAGUACCAAGGUGGACGGCGUAGCUAUCGGCGUCGGGGUCUCGGUCGGGGUCCUGGUGGUGGUGGUGGCUGCUGUACUUGGAUACAUCUACAGAGAUAAGCUGAGGUGCUCUCGGGAGGGCUCGAAGGAAUUCGAUCACAGGACGCAUCUGAAUCUUGAACCCAUCGCCGCUUCCACAUCCAGAGGUGUCGAGAACGACUACCCAUAUUACAAACACAAAAAAGGCACUGUGAUGGUGUUGAAGGACAUGAUCUGCGAGAACCCGGACGAGGACUCUGAAGAAGAGAUAUAUACGAAAUUCGACUAGGAAGGAUCGGCGUCUCUACAAUGUCUUGUAAUGGCUAUAAUGACUAAGCUGAUCAAGGUCGGCGUUCGAUGCGUGACUCUCAAGGUGGUGGGCCGCCGCUCCUUAACCCACUGUUCCUGUACGAGCUUCUUGUGCUUGUAUCCUCGCCAAGUGCUGUGUAGUCAUGCUGGUUGACCUGUGUAGUCAAGGUUCUCAUUUCUUACCUGUUAUAGAUUCGAGAAAAUGCAGCCGAAGGAAAGGGAUGAUUGUUGGCAGGUGUCAGAGAGAUGGGUCUGAAUUUUCGUGAAUUAGGCUUGGAUAUGGGUAUUAGGAGUCCCUGUGUCCAGCGGUCAGGUAAGACACCCUGCCUGAGACUUUAAUUAAACAAUUCUAGCAAAGGGAGCCGGAGCCGGUCUAUAAGGAGCCGGUCGGCCGAGCGGACAGCACGCUGUACUUGUG